CUUUAUUUAUCCUACUAAGUAUAGUAAUAAUAUCAAUUACAAUGAAAGAAAUUUUCUUCUCAACAUUUUAUUGGAAGGUUUAAUUGGUGUAAUUAUACCUUGAAUGUGAAGAGGCAUGCAAUGUGAGAUGCUCACAAAAAGGUCACAAAAAAAGAUGUUUGUUUUAUUGCAACCAUUGUUGUGGAUGGUGCCAAUGUGUUCCACCAGGAUUUGUUGGGGAAAAUAAAGAUUGUUGUCCUUGCUAUAGAGAUUGGAAGAAACAGACAGGAGAACCAAAGUGUCCAUGAAAUUAAAUUAAUUAAUGAGUAAAAGAAUGAUUUUUAUUAUAUAAUGAGUGUUAUGUUUAAUUUUCUUUAUUUGAUCUUCUUGAGAAGUGUCUCAACUCUCAUGUGCUGUUAAAAUCAAGAAUUAAUAUUAUUUGUUGAUUAUGUUU